rnacentral:misc_RNA from 1 species
AGAAGGAAGCUUAAGAGCUCUAUUGAUGUCGAUCUUAAUACCAUAAGACUCUGUCAAGCUAGUAUUACUUAGCAGCUGACACAAACAGACAGGGCUUCCCUCGAUCAAUCCAGCUAGCUCCGGGCAGCAAUUCUUGUCUGGCACCGUCGCGUUACUCGAUUCCGCUACGUAACUCAAGCAAUCCGACAUGUUUAACAGCGGCGUCAUGCAAUCAUUUGCUGAGGACGGCCCUGGCGCAAUAUUCACUUCGCUUGGCGCUGGGCCUGAUAUUGGACCUGGAACUGGGUAUCCCAAGGCUGCGCACGUGCUAACCGGAGGAGUGCUAAUACGACAGAC